AGAGUUUGAUCCUGGCUCAGGAUGAACGCUAGCGGCAGGCCUAACACAUGCAAGUCGAGGGGGAACGAUGUCUUCGGACAGUCGACGACGCACGGGCGAGUAACGCGUAUGCAACCUACCUCAAACAGGGGGAUAGCUCAGGGAAACCUGGAUUAAUACCCCAUAAUAUUUAGAUUUGGCAUCAGAUUUAAAUUAAAACUCCGGUGGUUUGAGAUGGGCAUGCGUGACAUUAGCUAGUUGGUAAGGUAAUGGCUUACCAAGGCUACGAUGUCUAGGGGUUCUGAGAGGAUGAUCCCCCACACUGGUACUGAGACACGGACCAGACUCCUACGGGAGGCAGCAGUGAGGGAUAUUGGUCAAUGGGCGAAAGCCUGAACCAGCCAUCCCGCGUGUAGGAAGACUGCGCUCUGGGUUGUAAACUACUUUUAUAAAGGAAGAAACCCUCUUACGUGUAGUAAUUUGACGGUAGCAAAUGAAUAAGGACCGGCUAACUCCGUGCCAGCAGCCGCGGUAAUACGGAGGGUCCAAGCGUUAUCUGGAUUCAUUGGGUUUAAAGGGUGCGCAGGCGGGCUUGUAAGUCAGUGGUGAAAUUCUGCCGCUUAACGGUAGAACUGCCAUUGAUAGUGCAAGUCUUGAGAGUAUGGUUGAGGUAAGCGGAAUGUGUCGUGUAGCGGUGAAAUGCAUAGAUAUGACACAGAACGCCAAUUGCGAAGGCAGCUUACUAAGCCAUUACUGAGGCUGAGGGACGAAAGCGUGGGGAGCGAACAGGAUUAGAUACCCUGGUAGUCCACGCCGUAAACGAUGUUCACUCGCUGUCUGCGAUAUACCAGUAGGCGGAUAAGCGAAAGCAUUAAGUGAACCACCUGGGGAGUACGAUAGCAAGGUUGAAACUCAAAGGAAUUGACGGGGGCCCGCACAAGCGGAGGAACAUGUGGUUUAAUUCGAUGAUACGCGAGGAACCUUACCUGGGCUUAAAUCUAGAUUGCAUAGAGUAGAAAUAUGUCCUUCUUGGAACUAAUUACAAGGUGCUGCAUGGUUGUCGUCAGCUCGUGCCGUGAGGUGUCGGGUUAAGUCCCAUAACGAGCGCAACCCUUAUCAUUAGUUGCCAUCGGGUCAUGCCGGGGACUCUAAUGAGACUGCCAGUGUAAACUGUGAGGAAGGUGGGGAUGACGUCAAAUCAGCACGGCCCUUAUGUCCAGGGCUACACACGUGUUACAAUGGUCGAUACAAAGGGCAGCUACCUGGUGACAGGAUGCUAAUCUCUAAAGUCGAUCUCAGUUCGGAUCGAAGUCUGCAACUCGACUUCGUGAAGUUGGAUUCGCUAGUAAUCGUAUAUCAGCAAUGAUACGGUGAAUACGUUCCCGGGCCUUGUACACACCGCCCGUCAAACCAUGGAAGCUGGGGGUACCUGAAGUUCGUAACCGUAAGGAGCGUCCUAGGGUAAAUCUGGUAACUGGGGUUAAGUCGUAACAAGGUAGC
rnacentral:rRNA from 1 species